AUCUCACCUGAACAACUUCGUCUCUCUGUCUCUUUUCUUUCUUCAGUUUUACUCGUUAGCGCAAAACCUUCUCAACUAACUGCGUCACGAGUCACGAGUCACGACUGCCUUCUUCACCCCUUGCGAGUUGAGGGGACGCAUUUCACGAAGUUUGAUAAUCUCUUCUCGUUUCUUACAUGGAAGCUCCAUUAGUCGGUCUCUAAGCCACGGUUGUUGCUAGAUCCGAAUUCGGUUUGUUCCAAUGUCUUCCUGGCUCAAAGCUGCUGAAGAUCUGUUUGAAGUUGUCGAUCGGAGGGCAAAGCUGGUUGUCAGUGAGUUAGACGAUCAGUUGGCUACCCAGUCACCAGCUUCCAAUGGGCAAGGAUCUCAAGCCAAGAGGAAAAAGUCAAAGACCAAGGCUCAAAAGAGACAGUCCAUGAAUGAAUCUCCUAAUACAAGUGAUUCUGCACGCGAACAGAUAAGUAUAUUGACAUUGACAUCACAAGUAGAUGCGACACCUGAAAUAGACAGUGAUGCUCAUUUAAAUGACAAUGAUGGGACACCAUCAGUAAAUCCUUCAAGUCAACCUAUCAAUGAGAAGCAACAGAAUCUUGAGAAAGAUUCCACAGUAAGCAUUCCUUUAACAGAGACAACAGCAAUUGCAGUUGGUCAAAUUAAUGCUCAUGAAGUAGAAGCGUCAACCACUAGUACUGAUAAGGAAGCUGUUACUUCAACUUCAAAUGGUGAGCUUGUCAAUGAGAUUCCCUCAGAUGGUCAUGAAGAACAUCCUUUUCCAUUAUCUGCCAAAGAAGUUGAGGUUGUGGAUGAAAACCAUCAAGUUGAAUCAGUUGAUGCUGGCCAAGAUAACAAAUCUAGAGACGCAGAUGUACAUCCAGAAACUGACCAAAAUAGAACAGAGUCUACAACUACCACUGCCAUCAGUAACAGAGAAACUCAAUCUAAAGUUGCUGAUGGUAAUGAGGAACCAGUAAUUGAGCAAAGUAAGCAAGUUGAGCAUAAAGCUGGUAGCACUCCUGUGAAAGUACAGGAACAGGAUCAAAGUAAGCAAGUUGAGCAUAAAGCUGGUAGUACUCCCGCGAAAGUACAGGAACAGGAUCAAAGUAAGCAAGUUGAGCAUAAAGCUGGUAGCACUCCUGUGAAAGUACAGGAACAGGAUCAAAUCGAGGAGGCCCAAGGAUUGCUUAAAACUGCUGUUUCCACUGGUCAGUCUAAAGAGGCAAGGUUAGCAAGGGUUUGUGCUGGACUUUCGUCCCGACUUCAAGAAUACAAAUCUGAAAAUGCACAGCUAGAGGAACUUCUUGUGUCAGAGAGAGAGCUGAAUAAGUCAUAUGAAGCUCGCAUAAAACAGCUCCAGAAAGAUUUGUCAGCAUCUAAAAGUGAUGUGACAAGAAUAGAGUCAAAUAUGGUUGAGGCCUUGGCUGCAAAAAAUUCAGAAAUUGAGGCACUUGUCAGUUCCAUGGAUGCACUGAAAAAACAGGCUGCUUUGUCUGAAGGGAAUCUGGCUUCGCUGCAGGCGAAUAUGGAGUCUAUCAUGAGAAAUAGGGAACUAUCCGAGACAAGGAUGAUGCAGGCUUUACGAGAGGAGUUGUCUACUGUAGAACGGAGAGCAGAAGAAGAGCGUGCCGCACAUAAUGCUACCAAAAUGGCUGCAAUGGAAAGGGAAGUAGAAUUGGAACACAGAGCCCUUGAGGCAUCCACAGCCCUUGCUAGGAUCCAGAGAAUAGCAGAUGAGAGGACAGCAAAGGCAUCGGAGCUUGAGCAGAAGAUGGCAUUGCUUGAGGUUGAAUGUGCCAAUUUAAACCAAGAGCUGCAAGAUAUGGAAGCUCGUGCUCGGCGCGGGCAAAAGAAGUCACCAGAAGAGGCAAAUCAAGUGAUUCAGAUGCAGGCAUGGCAGGAAGAAGUGGAACGUGCACGCCAAGGUCAGAGGGACGCAGAGGGGAAACUUUCUUCUUUGGAGGCCGAAAUGCAAAAAAUGAGAGUUGAAAUGGCUGCCAUGAAGAGGGAUGCAGAGCAUUACUCGCGUCAGGAACACAUGGAGCUAGAGAAGCGCUACCGUGAACUAACUGAUCUAUUGUACUACAAGCAAACACAAUUAGAAACCAUGGCUAGUGAAAAAGCUGCAGCUGAGUUUCACUUGGAGAAGGAAUUGAAGCGUCUCCAGGAAGCACAGGUAGAGGCAGAAAGGAGUAGAGUUCCCCGUCGAGCAUCGGCAUCCUGGGAAGAAGAUGCUGAAAUGAAGGCACUUGAGUAUGUUGACUCUCUAAGCCUCUUCCCUUGCAUCACCGUCAUAUGGUUGGGGCAAGCAUACAGUUGCAGAAGGCAGCAAAACUAUUAGAUUCAGGAGCUGUCAGGGCCACAAGAUUUCUCUGGCGUUAUCCAACAGCUCGACUUAUCUUGCUAUUCUACCUGGUAUUUGUACAUCUCUUCUUGAUGUAUUUGCUGCAUCGCCUUCAGGCACAAGCGGACAAUUUUUCCGCAAGAGAAGUUGCAGAGUCUAUGGGACUUGCUAACACUAACUUACCAUGAUUGGGUAGAAGCAACUCGUGCCACACCCCCAAAAAAACAUCUCAAGUUCAACAAGCAUAGAAUGCGCCAAGAGUGAUGCGUCUAAUAUCUAAUUAUAAGAAGUAAACGGAAGCAAGUGAACCUUGAUUGUCGGGUGAAGAUAUAUAUAGGAUGGUUUUAUCUCCAUUCUUUGUCGAGGAUGCGCAUGCAAAAUGUUGAUGUCCAAAUAAUGUUUGUGAGGAAGGGACUGCUUGCUUGCUUGCUUUGUACAUCCAAACCAAACUUGCUUUCUGCUUUGCAGAUGUGAAAUUUUCUUACAAAUACAUACAUUAUAUAUAUAGCAACUGCUGAUUCUUUCAUUAUAUUCUUAGUUUGUAUUUGUUCAGGAAUUACUUGGUGACUUGAACUUGUGAAUGUGAAAUACACGUGUAUGUAUAUUCAUCAUUAUUAUAUUAUCAGAGGAUCAAAAGCAGAGGUCGAUCGUAAUUGGCAAAAA